rnacentral:lncRNA from 1 species
AGCUCUUUGGCUGUCUUCCUCCGCCUACACUGUACUGCUUGAGGCUUUACUAUCCAACAUUUUCUCUUGAGCUUUGCAAACUUUAUCUCCAAGGCAGACUCUAUUGUGUCCCACCUGACUGGCAAGAAAGACGCAACAAACCGGAAUCUUCCGCGGCAAAAGCUUUAUUGCUUACUUCUUCAGGAAGACCCCGAACCGGAAAAUGGCGCCGCUUUUAUAACCCACAGUGUGACGUUUUAGCACCUGAUAUGGCGUGACAGCUCCUGAUUCGUUGCUCGCACAUCACCCCAUUAUUACACCCCGAGAAUGGGAGUGACUAGGAGUGAGUUCACUCUCGCACCUGCAUACAAGGCUUGUUUACUAGUUAGGCACAGCGGAGGCCAGCACCAUCUUAUAAUGGCGACUGUUCGCGGCACGGCUCUCCACAAGACUCUGCCAUCUCCAUGUGUUUUCCUAUCACCUCUAUUCCUUCUUCUAAUUUUAUUUUCCUUCUUCUAAUUUUUCUUUUCUUCAAAAUCUCAUUGUGGUUAUCAAUACCUUGCUUUCUUGUGCAUGAUUUGCGAUACGGUCUGAGUUAUUUUGAAUGAAGAACUAAAUGUGAGCUGACAGCAUGGUAAAGAAUUUUAUUUCAUGAACACAUGUGACAUA